rnacentral:rRNA from 1 species
CCUACGGGGGGCUGCAGUGGGGAAUAUUGGACAAUGGGGGGAACCCUGAUCCAGCCAUGCCGCGUGUGUGAAGAAGGCCCUCGGGUUGUAAAGCACUUUCAGUGAGGAAGAACGCCUGUGGUUAAUACCCAUCAGGAAAGACAUCACUCACAGAAGAAGCACCGGCUAACUCCGUGCCAGCAGCCGCGGUAAUACGGAGGGUGCGAGCGUUAAUCGGAAUUACUGGGCGUAAAGCGCGCGUAGGUGGCUUGAUAAGCCGGUUGUGAAAGCCCCGGGCUCAACCUGGGAACGGCAUCCGGAACUGUCAAGCUAGAGUGCAGGAGAGGAAGGUAGAAUUCCCGGUGUAGCGGUGAAAUGCGUAGAGAUCGGGAGGAAUACCAGUGGCGAAGGCGGCCUUCUGGACUGACACUGACACUGAGGUGCGAAAGCGUGGGUAGCAAACAGGAUUAGAUACCCCGGUAGUC